rnacentral:rRNA from 1 species
GUACACUCCUGCGGGAGGCAGCAGUGGGGAAUAUUGCACAAUGGGCGCAAGCCUGAUGCAGCCAUGCCGCGUGUAUGAAGAAGGCCUUCGGGUUGUAAAGUACUUUCAGCGGGGAGGAAGGCGAUAAGGUUAAUAACCUUGUCGAUUGACGUUACCCGCAGAAGAAGCACCGGCUAACUCCGUGCCAGCAGCCGCGGUAAUACGGAGGGUGCAAGCGUUAAUCGGAAUUACUGGGCGUAAAGCGCACGCAGGCGGUCUGUCAAGUCGGAUGUGAAAUCCCCGGGCUCAACCUGGGAACUGCAUUCGAAACUGGCAGGCUAGAGUCUUGUAGAGGGGGGUAGAAUUCCAGGUGUAGUGGUGAAAUGCGUAGAGAUCUGGAGGAAUACCGGUGGCGAAGGCGGCCCCCUGGACAAAGACUGACGCUCAGGUGCGAAAGCGUGGGGAGCAAACAGGAUUAGAAACCCUAGUAGUCCCAUG